GAGACCGGCGCACGGGUGCGUAACGCGUAUGCAAUCUACCUUUGCAGAGGGAUAGCCAGAGAAAUUUGGAUUAAUACCUCAUAGUAUAGUACUUGGCAUCAAGGAACUAUUAAAGUCACAACGGCAAAAAGAUGAGCAUGCGUCCCAUUAGCUAGUUGGUAAGGUACGGCUUACCAAGGCUACGAUGGGUAGGGGUUCUGAGAGGGAGAUCCCCCCACACUGGUACUGAGACACGGACCAGACUCCUACGGGAGGCAGCAGUGAGGAAUAUUGGACAAUGGGCGCAAGCCUGAUCCAGCCAUGCCGCGUGCAGGAUGACGGUCCUAUGGAUUGUAAACUGCUUUAUACAGGAAGAAACACUCCGACGUGUCGGAGCUUGACGGUACUGUAAGAAUAAGGAUCGGCUAACUCCGUG
rnacentral:rRNA from 1 species